rnacentral:rRNA from 1 species
UACGUAGGGGGCAAGCGUUAUCCGGAUUUACUGGGUGUAAAGGGAGCGUAGACGGUGAUGCAAGUCAGAAGUGAAAGCCCGGGGCUCAACUCCGGGACUGCUUUUGAAACUGUGUGACUGGAGUACAGUAGAGGUAGGCGGAAUUCGUGGUGUAGCGGUGAAAUGCUUAGAUAUCACGAAGAACUCCGAUUGCGAAGGCAGCCUGCUGGACUGUAACUGACGCUGAUGCUCGAAAGUGUGGGUAUCAAACAGG